rnacentral:rRNA from 1 species
GUGCCAGCCGCCGCGGUAAUACGUAGGUGGCAAGCGUUGUCCGGAUUUAUUGGGCGUAAAGCGAGCGCAGGCGGUUUUUUAAGUCUGAUGUGAAAGCCUUCGGCUCAACCGAAGAAGUGCAUCGGAAACUGGGAAACUUGAGUGCAGAAGAGGACAGUGGAACUCCAUGUGUAGCGGUGAAAUGCGUAGAUAUAUGGAAGAACACCAGUGGCGAAGGCGGCUGUCUGGUCUGUAACUGACGCUGAGGCUCGAAAGUAUGGGUAGCAAACAGGAUUAGAUACCCUGGUAGUCCAUACCGUAAACGAUGAAUGCUAAGUGUUGGAGGGUUUCCGCCCUUCAGUGCUGCAGCUAACGCAUUAAGCAUUCCGCCUGGGGAGUACGGCCGCAAGGCUGAAACUCAAAGGAAUUGACGGGGGCCCGCACAAGCGGUGGAGCAUGUGGUUUAAUUCGAAGCUACCCGAAGAACCUUACCAGGUCUUGACAUACUAUGCAAAUCUAAGAGAUUAGACGUUCCCUUCGGGGACAUGGAUACAGGUGGUGCAUGGUUGUCGUCAGCUCGUGUCGUGAGAUGUUGGGUUAAGCCCCGCAACGAGCGCAACCCUUAUUAUCAGUUGCCAGCAUUAAGUUGGGCACUCUGGUGAGACUGCCGGUGACAAACCAGAGGAAGGUGGGGAUGACGUCAAAUCAUCAUGCCCCUUAUGACCUGGGCUACACACGUGCUACAAUGGAUGGUACAACGAGUUGCGAACUCGCGAGAGUAAGCUAAUCUCUUAAAGCCAUUCUCAGUUCGGAUUGUAGGCUGCAACUCGCCUACAUGAAGUCGGAAUCGCUAGUAAUCGNGGAUCAGCAUGCCGCGGUGAAUACGUUCCCGGGCCUUGUACACACCGCCCGU